GAUGAAGAACGUAGCGAAAUGCGAUAAGUAAUGUGAAUUGCAGAAUUCAGUGAAUCAUCGAAUCUUUGAACGCACCUUGCGCCCUUUGGACAUUCCGCAGGGCAUGCCUGUUUGAGUAUCAUGAACACCUCAACUCUCACGGCUUGUCCGUGAUGAGCUUGGACUUUGGGGGUCUUGCCGGCCUGUGGUCGGCUCCUCUCAAAUGGAUCAGCUUGCCAGUGUUUGGUGGCAUCACAGGUGUGAUAACUAUCUGCGCUUGUGGUUUUCCAUCAGAUAACCUUCAGUGAUAUGGAGGUUCGCUGGAGCUCACAAAUGUCUCUCCUUAGUGAGGACAGCUCUUUGAACGUUUGAUCUCAAAUCAGGUAGGACUACCCGCUGAACUUAAGCAUAUCAAUAAGCGGAGGA
rnacentral:misc_RNA from 1 species